AACUUGGUAUGGUAUUUAUGUUGUUUUUAUCACUGAUAUACCAAAUUAUCGGAUGGGGAAAUCCUAAUCAGUCAGUAAUAGUACAUGCUGCAGAUAAACUUUCAUAUUAUCGGAAACAUUUUGCGACAAUUUUUCUGUGAUUUCCGCGAUUAACGAUAGUAGUAGGUAAACUGUACGUAAUUAAUUGCGUCGUAUUAUUUUCAUCGUUCUAAGUAAGACUCAAAUAGAACGGUUCCUAACCACUUUUUUGCUUUUGUUUGUGAAUAAGACAUUUAUAGUGGGUUAGGAUUCUGCACCGUCCAAACUACACAGGCUUUGAAGCUUCUCACACGCAGAACAUAAUUUAUAAUUUACUUGCUGCUCAAGAAAAAUUGUGAAUUCAAAAACAAAUUACACACCAUGGAUUUGGACGAAACAUUGACACUCGUACACAAAAUCGUAAUCAUACCGUCACUGAUCUGUUUAUCCAUUCAUUUAAAUAAAUUUUUCCAAAGUGGUGGAUUGUCAACGCAAAACUUGGCAACAAAAAAUCUUACCUUUUACUGUUUUCUUCUGUUAAUACGCGAUAUUUAUUCUAUCUUUGAUAUUUUUCCUUCAUCGAUAGGUAUAUUUGAUCACGUGACUUUCUUUUCGAAAUAUCGUGUAAUGUAUAAUCUGGACCUUUUCACACGGUUAUCAUUAGUAAUUUUCAAACUAAUUAUCGCUUUGGAUGUAUGCUUGUGUUUUCGAAAAAUUGCUUUAUACUUGCAACGCCCUUCUCCAGGUAAUCAAAACAAACGAUUUUUUGUUUAUUGCAUUUUAGGAACAAUCAUUCCUCUGUUCAUUGUUUUACUGUCAGAGUGGAUGGGUUUCUAUUUUACCCUGGAUAACUCAUUAUUAUGCGUUAUUCGCGUUUCCCGUUUGAUUCCAAUUUUCGGCGCAUUUUGGUACAUACGAUUAGCCAGCAUUGAUAAGGCAGAAUUAUGGUCCAAGUUCUCUCUACAUAUACGUCUUCUCAUAAUGCUUGGUGGUUUAGCAGCUUUCCUCAGUUUAUUACAACUGUGUCUAAUUAUUAGGUUUUGGAAAUUUUACUUCCCGAAUCGCAACGAAAAAAACGAGAUGGAAAUUUUUUUACAGGCUUUCGAUGCGCAAAAUACUUAUUUACGAAUACAAUCGAUCGGCGCCAUCUUGGAAGGUAUUGCGAUCGGAAUAUUUUUUACAUUCAAGAAAGAUACCUUUAGACGUAUGCCCUUAAGGAUAAAUGAAAAUACAUAACUAAGUAUGUAUAGUCUAGGACUCAAAUCGUCCAUCAAAUAAUUAUCCAAUUUAGUACUAAGUAUUGUAAUUUUUUCAAAAUAAAUUCACGAAUGUU